CACGUAGGGCGCAAGCGUUGUCCGGAAUUAUUGGGCGUAAAGAGCUCGUAGGCGGUCUGUUGCGUCCGCUGUGAAAACCCGGGGCUUAACCCCUGGCUUGCAGUGGAUACGGACAGACUAGAGGUAGGUAGGGGAGAAUGGAAUCCCCGGUGUAGCGGUGAAAUGCGCAGAUAUCGGGAGGAACACCGGUGGCGAAGGCGGUUCUCUGGGCCUUACCUGACGCUGAGGAGCGAAAGCGUGGGGAGCGAACAGG
rnacentral:rRNA from 1 species